rnacentral:rRNA from 1 species
UACGUAGGGGGCAAGCGUUGUUCGGAAUUACUGGGCGUAAAGCGCGCGUAGGCGGUUUGGAAAGUCAGAUGUGAAAGCCCCGGGCUCAACUUGGGAACUGCAUUUGAUACUGCCAGACUAGAGUACAGAAGAGGUGACUGGAAUUCCCAGUGUAGCGGUGAAAUGCGUAGAUAUUGGGAGGAACACCAGAUGCGAAGGCGGGUCACUGGGCUGAUACUGACGCUGAUGCGCGAAAGCCAGGGGAGCGAACAGG